GCUUGGGAGAGCUCAGUCAACAAAGCAUGAGACUCUUAAUUCCAGGGUUGUGGGUUUGAGCCCCACCUUAAGCA